CUACGGAGGGUGCAAGCGUUACUCGGAAUCACUGGGCGUAAAGCGCGCGCAGGCGGUCUUUUAAGUUGGAUGUGAAAGCCUACGGCUCAACCGUAGAACUGCAUCCAAAACUAUUAGACUAGAGUGUGGGAGAGGAAGAUGGAAUUAGUUGUGUAGGGGUAAAAUCCGUAGAGAUAACUAGGAAUACCAAAAGCGAAGGCAAUCUUCUGGAACACUACUGACGCUGAGGCGCGAAAGCGUGGGGAGCAAACAGGAUUAGAAACCCCGGUAGUCC
rnacentral:rRNA from 1 species